rnacentral:rRNA from 1 species
UGAACGCUGGCGGCGUGCUUAACACAUGCAAGUACGAACGAAGCAAUUUCUAUGAUCCCUUCGGGGUGACGGAUUAUUGACUGAGUGGCGGACGGGUGAGUAACGCGUGGGUAACCUACCUUGUACAGGGGGACAACAGUUGGAAACGACUGCUAAUACCGCAUAAGCGCACAGUACCGCAUGGUACAGUGUGAAAAGUAUUUUCGGUACAAGAUGGACCCGCGUCUGAUUAGCUAGUUGGUGAGGUAACGGCUCACCAAGGCGACGAUCAGUAGCCGACCUGAGAGGGUGACCGGCCACAUUGGGACUGAGACACGGCCCAAACUCCUACGGGAGGCAGCAGUGGGGAAUAUUGCACAAUGGGCGCAAGCCUGAUGCAGCCGACGCCGCGUGAGCGAAGAAGUAUUUCGGUAUGUAAAGCUCUAUCAGCAGGGAAGAUAAUGACGGUACCUGACUAAGAAGCACCGGCUAAAUACGUGCCAGCCGCAGC